rnacentral:rRNA from 1 species
GUUGGGUAGGGGAGCGUUCUGUAAGCCUGUGAAGGUGUGUCGUGAGGCAUGCUGGAGGUAUCAGAAGUGCGAAUGCUGACAUAAGUAACGAUAAAGCGGGUGAAAAGCCCGCUCGCCGGAAGACCAAGGGUUCCUGUCCAACGUUAAUCGGGGCAGGGUGAGUCGACCCCUAAGGCGAGGCCGAAAGGCGUAGUCGAUGGGAAACGGGUUAAUAUUCCCGUACUUGGUGUUACUGCGAAGGGGGGACGGAGAAGGCUAUGUUGGCCGGGCGACGGUUGUCCCGGUUUAAGCGUGUAGGUGUGUGUUCCAGGUAAAUCCGGUUCACUUUAACACUGAGGCGUGACGACGAGGCACUACGGUGCUGAAGCAACAAAUGCCCUGCUUCCAGGAAAAGCCUCUAAGCAUCAGGUAACAUCAAAUCGUACCCCAAACCGACACAGGUGGUCAGGUAGAGAAUACCAAGGCGCUUGAGAGAACUCGGGUGAAGGAACUAGGCAAAAUGGUGCCGUAACUUCGGGAGAAGGCACGCUGACACGUAGGUGAAGUGAUUUACUCAUGGAGCUGAAGUCAGUCGAAG